CCUACGGGGGGCAGCAGUGAGGAAUAUUGGUCAAUGGACGAGAGUCUGAACCAGCCAAGUAGCGUGAAGGAUGACUGCCCUAUGGGUUGUAAACUUCUUUUAUAUGGGAAUAAAACGUUCCACGUGUGGGAUUUUGUAUGUACCCUAUGAAUAAGGAUCGGCUAACUCCGUGCCAGCAGCCGCGGUAAUACGGAGGCUCCGAGCGUUAUCCGGAUUUAUUGGGUUUAAAGGGAGCGUAGGUGGAUUGUUAAGUCAGUUGUGAAAGUUUGCGGCUCAACCGUAAAAUUGCAGUUGAAACUGGCAGUCUUGAGUACAGUAGAGGUGGGCGGAAUUCGUGGUGUAGCGGUGAAAUGCUUAGAUAUCACGAAGAACUCCGAUUGCGAAGGCAGUUCACUGGACUGCAACUGACACUGAGGCUCGAAAGUGUGGGUAUCAAACAGGAUUAGAUACCCGAGUAGUC
rnacentral:rRNA from 1 species